rnacentral:rRNA from 1 species
CGAGAGAGGGUCCUCCGGGGCCCGACCCUCCCACCCCGUGCGUACGUACCUCUGUUGCUUCGGCGGGCCCGCGGGUCGCCUUUGGGCCGCCCGCCACCGGCUUCGGCUGGUCCGUGCCCGCCGGGAGCCCCCCCAUCAAACCCGACCGUCACCAGUGGAGUCUGAGUGCGACGCAAUGACUAAAACUUUCAACAACGGAUCUCUUGGUUCUGGCAUCGAUGAAGAACGCAGCGAAAUGCGAUAAGUAAUGUGAAUUGCAGAAUUCAGUGAAUCAUCAAAUCUUUGAACGCACAUUGCGCCCCCUGGUAUUCCGGGGGGCAUGCCUGUUCGAGCGUCAUUACACCUCUCAAGCCUCGCUUGGUGUUGGGCCUCCGUCCUUCGCGGGCGGGCCCGAAAGUCAGUGGCGGAGUCGCCGGGCUUCAAGCGUAGUAACAUCCGUCCCGCUUUGGAAGACCCGGGGGCGUCCGGCCAGUCAACACCUCCGAUCAUCAAUGGUUGACCUCGGAUCAGGCAGGGAUACCCGCUGAACUUAAGCAUAUCAAUA